rnacentral:rRNA from 1 species
AGGAUGAACGCUGGCGGCGUGCUUAACACAUGCAAGUCAAGGGGGCCCAGCAAUGGGUAACCGGCGAACGGGUGCGUAACACGUGAGCAACCUACCGAAUUGUGGGGGAUAGCCGGCCCAACGGCCGGGUAAUACCGCAUACGCUCGAGACGAGGCAUUUCGACUCGAGGAAACCUACGGGACAUUUCGAGGGCUCGCGGCCUAUCAGCUAGUUGGUGAGGUAACGGCUCACCAAGGCGACGACGGGUAGC